rnacentral:rRNA from 1 species
UACAGAGGGUGCAAGCGUUGUUCGGAAUCAUUGGGCGUAAAGGGCGUGUAGGCGGUUUGUUAAGUCAUGUGUGAAAUCCCCCGGCUUAACCUGGGAACUGCGUCUGAUACUGGGAGGCUUGAGUAUGGGAGAGGGAUGUAGAAUUCCAGGUGUAGCGGUGAAAUGCGUAGAUAUCUGGAGGAAUACCGGUGGCGAAGGCGGCAUCCUGGACCAUAACUGACGCUGAGGCGCGAAAGCUAGGGGAGCAAACGGG